rnacentral:tRNA from 1 species
GAGGUUGUAGCUCAGUGGUAGAGCCCUUGCCUAGCAUGUGUGAGGCACUGGGUUUGAUUCUCAGCACCACA